GAUGAACGCUGGCGGCGUGCCUAAUACAUGCAAGUCGAGCGAACAGACGAGGAGCUUGCUCCUCUGACGUUAUCGGCGGACGGGUGAGUAACACGUGGAUAACCUACCUAUAAGACUGGGAUAACUUCGGGAAACCGGAGCUAAUACCGGAUAAUAUAUUUAACCGCAUGGUUCAAUAGUGAAAGACGGUUUUGCUGUCACUUAUAGAUUGAUCCGCGCCGCAUUAGCUAGUUGGUAAGGUAACGGCUUACCAAGGCAACGAUGCGUAGCCGACCUGAGAGGGUGAUCGCCCACACUGGAACUGAGAAACGGUCCAGACUCCUACGGGAGGCAGAAGUAGGGAAUCUUCCGCAAUGGGCGAAAGCCUGACGGAGCAACGCCGCGUGAGUGAUGAAGGUCUUCGGAUCGUAAAACUCUGUUAUUAGGGAAGAACAAAUGUGUAAGUAACUAUGCACGUCUUGACGGUACCUAAUCAGAAAGCCACGGCUAACUACGUG
rnacentral:rRNA from 1 species